rnacentral:rRNA from 1 species
CCUACGGGUGGCAGCAGUGAGGAAUAUUGGUCAAUGGCCGGAAGGCUGAACCAGCCAAGCCGCGUGAAGGACGAAGGUGCCAAGCAUUGUAAACUUCUUUUGUCAAGGGACAAAAUCAGGCUCGAGAGCCUGACCGAGGGUACUUGAAGAAAAAGCAUCGGCUAACUCCGUGCCAGCAGCCGCGGUAAUACGUAGGGGGCAAGCGUUAUCCGGAUUUAUUGGGUGUAAAGGGAGCGUAGACGGCAGCACAAGUCUGGUGUGAAAUGCCGGGGCUUAACCCCGGAAGUGCAUUUGAAACUGGCCAGCUAGAGUGCAGGAGAGGUAAGUGGAAUUCCUAGUGUAGCGGUGAAAUGCGUAGAUAUUAGGAAGAACACCGGUGGCGAAGGCGGCUUACUGGACUGUAACUGACGUUGAGGCUCGAAAGCGUGGGGAGCAAACAGGAUUAGAUACCCCAGUAGUC